rnacentral:rRNA from 1 species
CCUACGGGAGGCAGCAGUGAGGAAUAUUGGUCAAUGGGCGCGAGCCUGAACCAGCCAAGUAGCGUGAAGGAUGAAUGCCCUAAGGGUUGUAAACUUCUUUUAUCAGGGAACAAAGUGUGGCACGCGUGCCUUUUUGAAUGUACUUUAAGAAUAAGGAUCGGCUAACUCCGUGCCAGCAGCCGCGGUAAUACGGAGGAUGCGAGCGUUAUCCGGAUUUAUUGGGUUUAAAGGGAGCGUAGAUGGGUUGUUAAGUCAGUUGUGAAAGUUUGCGGCUCAACCGUGAAAUUGCAAUUGAUACUGGCAGUCUUGAGUACAGGAGAGGUAGGCGGAAUGCGUGGUGUAGCGGUGAAAUGCAUAGAUAUCACGAAGAACUCCGAUUGCGAAGGCAGCUUGCUAGACUGCCACUGACAUUGAGGCACGAAAGUGUGGGUAUCAAACAGGAUUAGAUACCCUAGUAGUC